UACGUAGGGUGCGAGCGUUAAUCGGAUUUACUGGGCGUAAAGCGUGCGCAGGCGGCCCGUUAAGACAGGUGUGAAAUCCCUGGGCUUAACCUAGGAAUUGCGCUUGUGACUGGAGGGCUCGAGUACGGUAGAGGGGGGUGGAAUUCCUGGUGUAGCAGUGAAAUGCGUAGAGAUCAGGAGGAACACCGAUGGCGAAGGCAGUCCCCUGGGCCUGUACUGACGCUCAUGCACGAAAGCGUGGGGAGCAAACAGG
rnacentral:rRNA from 1 species